rnacentral:miRNA from 1 species
GCAGACACAUUCCAGCCAAUCAGCAGCAGACCCUCCCUCCCAGACCCUCCCACCUCCUGGACAGCAUCCAUUUUGAAGCUGCAUUCUUAGUGAGCUGUCCAGAAGGAGGGAGGGUCUGGGAGGGAGGGUCUGCUGCUGAUUGGCUGGAAUGUGUCUG